CGACGCCUGUGGAAAAGCAAAAAUUUACGUCAACAAAAAGAGAUCAGGACUCAUUUACAAAAACAUCAAUAUAUAUAGAUCCAGACGAAAUAAUUACCAUUUCUAAGAUUAACUGUCCGCCGCAAGACAUGAUUUUCUUCAGGCCUCGACUUUGGCGCCUCCUGGAUAUAUGUUAAAAAAAGAAAUUUUAAUAAAUCAAUUUUUUUUUGUAUUAUAUAAGCUCUAAAUAAAAAUUUAAAAAAAAAUUUAUUUUAAUAUAUUAUACAGAACAUGAAAAAAAAAAAUUAUUGAAUAUGUUGUACUUUUUAGCUUUCCAAGGUGGUCAAGUACCUUAAAAUGUCCGAAUCAGACCUUUUUUUUAAGCUACUUGUUUUCUUCUGCAACUUACUGUAUGCUCAUGCGCGCACUUGACGCACAGCAGCUGCGGCUGUCGAGCAUUUAGAAAGACAUAUUUACAUACAUAUAUUUUUGCAUACAUAUGUACGAUGCCGCGGGCACUCGACUUGACAAAAAUUGAAGAUUUAUCAAAUAUUGGCAAAUAAUUCUACGCGAAAUAUUCCAAUAUUGACUAUUUUCGAAUUGUCGAGAAAAUUGGCAUAUGGGCGGCUCGUUUUAUGAAUGAAAGUUCUUGCUCUUAGAACUAACUAUGAGCUCGAAUUUAUCAAUGAAUUUUUUGAAGAUGAGUUUUUGUUGCACAGUACAAUAGUUGAAACUGUUCGGCGCCGCCGCGACUGUUCAGCGCUAUGGCAACUAGAAUGAUGGCCGCUACGCCUGCGUCUAUGACUGCAUUUUGUUCUUGUAGUCGCUAGGCAUAGAAUUUUAGCUUUGAACGACAUACGCAUUUUGAGGAAUAAAGCGAAUGCCCUGUGUGUGCGGUUGCAUGUACAUGCAUAUGUGUAUAUUAAUAAGCAUUGUUUUGCUUGAAUUCAAUAUUUAUAUUUGCAUAUGCCAUCUUCCUGUGUGCCUGGUAAUGAAGCGUUUUGUAUACAGAAUUUUUUGAUUUGUUUGAAGGGAUAUGGGCACCAAGUGUACAUACGCACAUAUAAAUAUGUACAUGAGUAUUCAAAAGAAAUUUGUUUUAGCAUUUGUGAGGCAGGAAUUUGAUCAUUAGGUUAUUUACAUGAAAUAUAAGGCGAUGCUCGUGAGGUAGGUCAUGUUGCUUCAGUGCACACAUAUGCGUGCAACAUAUACAUAUUUAAUAAAGAUGCAAUUGAAUUUAGUUGUCCCAUAUAUGCAAAUACGUUUCUUUGAAGUUUUCCUUUAUUUAUUUUAAAGUUUUAUACUAUCUAGAAAAUGCAUACAUACAAAUGUAUGUAUAUUAUUAUUCCCUGUAAUAAAAUGUAAAUUGAAAAAGAUUUGGUUUGCCAAAGGAACAAAUAAAUGCAUGUUCAAAUGCAAAUACAUAUGUAUGUCGAUAUACCAAAACACUUGUAUGCUAUGAAUUAAUUUCGACUCAAAAAAUUAGUAAAAAUUUUCAUCAAAUUUGUUUAGUUUUAAAUUUACGAAAACGCACAUACCAAAAUGUGAGAGGUCGUUUUAUAAUGUAUUUUUUUAAAUUAAAUCAAAAUAUUAAAGUUACUUUGAUUUGGCGCAUAUAAUAAAUUCAAUCAUUUUUUCUUCAUCACCUUUGUUUGAAAACACAAAUUGAAUAAAUUUUCGUUUACCAAGGGAACAUAAAAAUGCACAAGCAAAUGCCUUGCAAAAUGCCGUCGGCAUUCGUCAAUUUGAUUUCAUACAGAAACCAAAAACUGAGCAGAGCCAAUGUACUUGUACAUAAUUCACUGUAAGCAGCCCUGUUAAGAACUUCCCCGCUGUCGAGUUAAGCGAGGUGAAAUAGUGUUCGCGGUUUCACUUCAUUUUUGACAAUUCACACUAUUCGUAGCUCGUGAGAAUUCUCUAUAUUUAACGUUCUCUGGAAUUAAAAGAUGCGAAAGUCUAAGCAAAAUGGAAUAGGCAAAACAGUAUUACCUGCUAACUUUUUCAGCAAAAGUUUUAAUUUCUACGCUUUUGAGUACUUUUUCUUUAGAAUUUGCUCUGAAAUAAAAAGUAGCUUUUCCAAGAGGACAACACGGAUUUAUUAAGUAGCUUCAAGAUGGCUAACACAGGGUGAAAACUAGGCUACUUACAUCACCUUUAAUUAUUGCUUCAUGGGAACAGUAUGAAUCAUGUAGUCAAAUCGUGUCAGAUCAUGAUUCAAUUAUUAAGGGGAGAUAUACACCUAGAAGGUCGUGAAAAAUCGAUUUUUUUUUUGCAUUUUUCUUAAAGUUUGAGGGCUCUAGAAUAUCUAGUGAAAAGGACAAGGUAAUAUUUCGAUAAAUAAGCUAGUUACAGCCGAGAACGUGAAACUUGAUUUUAUGGGCCGGAGCUGACAGGCAGGUAGAGGCGGUUAGCGACCCUUGUACGAAGCUUCUAAACUUACUCCGGCAUUCUAUUGUGUUGGGUUUUUGGGCAUGCUUGGCUCCAGGUAUGAGGGUAAUAGACACGUUUUGUCAGUACCUUGCCGUUCGUUCAACUAAGCAGUUCAGUGAAUUUUCGUUUCCAAAUAAAUAUUGAGAGAAAAAUGGAUAUAAGAAGUAAAGGUUCUCGAAAAGAUCAUCGAACCGGAUUUUUUCGCAAAGAUCGAAGCAAAAAGAAAAUGCCGCCCAAAAAUCGAUAUUCUGCCGAAAAAAUUUCCAACGAAAAUAUUAGUUCUAGUGCCAAAAAAUUAAAGACUGAUCGUGAGACAUCCGCACCAGAAGAUCCAAACAUCGGGUAUCGAAUUUUGAAUUUUCUGACUGUGUUUGCUGCCUUGUUGGAAUGUGUAAAGUGUAAAAAGUGUAAUAGUGAUGUUCGAUUCUCUAUAGAAAGUACUCGAGGACUUGGUUUUAAGAUUGUAGUUUCUUGUUUGUCGUGCAAACCGACUUUCAUCCCUUCGUGCCCGUACAUCAACACAGCUUACGAAAUAAAUACACGAUUUUUUUUUGUCUUGCGUUUAUUGGGGAUUGGUUUGCGUGGAGCUAUGAAAUUUUGUGGACUCAUGGAUUUACCGCCUCCGCUUCAACAAUCGACGUAUGAUAUGAUUAUUAAUAACAUUCAUUCUGCUGCUUCUAAUAUUGCUCAAUUGGUGUUAAAACAAGCUGUAAAAGAAGAACAACAGGAAAUAAAAAAAGAAGAUUCCAGUGCUGAUUUAAGAAAACUGUUCGUUUCAGGAGAUGGUACGUGGCGAAAACGUGGUUUUACCUCAUUAUAUGGAGUUGCGGUUCUUAUUGGUCAGUUUACAGGAAAAGUCGUUGAUUUUCUUGUUAAAUCUUCUUAUUGUGCUGAAUGUAAUUAUUGGAAUAAACACAAAAAUACCGAGCAAUAUGAGGCAUGGAAAUCCAAUCACGAUCAAAAUUGUCAGAUCAAUCAUGAAGGAUCAGCAGGUAAAAUGGAAGUAGACGCCAUGAUAGAAUUAUUUUCAAGAUCUGUUGAAAAGCAUGGAGUGAUGUACACUAAUUACGUGGGGGAUGGCGACUCCAAGACGUACACGGGAAUAGUAAAUGGAAAACCUUAUGGUAAUCGGGCUGAAAUUGUAAAAAAAGAAUGCGUAGGACAUGUGCAAAAGCGAAUGGGCACCCGUCUUCGCGCAUGUAAAAAAGACAAUCCUGGAAUUGGCGGAAGAAAUAAAUUGACACUAAAACUGAUAGAUAAACUAAGCGUUUAUUAUGGUUUAGCUAUUCGCAGAAAUUGUCACUCCAAAGACGAUAUGAAAAAAGCGAUAUGGGCAACAUUUUAUCAUUACAGCUCAACAGAUAGAAAGCCGAAACAUCACUUCUGUCCCGAGGGCCGCGAAUCCUGGUGCAAGUGGCAACAAGCGAAAGCUAAAAAUGAAUUGAAAAAUUUCCUCCACGAUUAUACUGAAUUGCCAAAAAUAGUGUUAGAUGCCAUCAAACCGAUCUACAAUGAUCUCAGCAAUGACAAAUUGUUGGAACGCUGUGUUGGCGGAUUUACGCAAAAUUCAAAUGAGAGCUUCAACCAAUUGAUUUGGAAGAUAGCUCCAAAAACGAUGAACAGCGGGGCCAAAAUCGUCAAUAUUGCUGUAUUUCUGGCAUCAGCACAUUCAAUAAUGAUGUCACCUCAUUAUUAGAAAUUAUGAACGUGUUGGGAAUAUCUGUUGGACCAGGAGCGCACUUGUUCGCUGCGCAAGAAGACGAAACUCGCAUAGCGAAAGCCGAGCUGCGAUCGCAGGAGACUACAAAAGAAGGUCGUAUACGGCGAAGACAAGAAAAUUUGGAAGCCCUGGACAUUCCGUCCACUGUAGAGGACCUGCACUAUGGGCCUGGUAUCGAUGAUUGCAUAUGAUUUUUGGAGAAACGCCAUUGGGUACCGCGGAGGCUGAUUUUUUCAAGGACUUCCAAGGAUUCUACAUUAUCCUUUACAAUUCUUAUUAUUUUAAGCUAAAACAAAUUUAACACAUUUUUGAAUAUAUGUACUUUUAGAUAAAUAAAACCCCAAUCAUACAUUUUAAAUAGUUUCCUUUGAAAAAAAUUCAUAAAAAUGACCUUUUUUCCGGCUUUUAGGUGUAUAUCUCCCCUUAAAGGUUUGCUCACUAGUGACAUUCGAUUUUUGACACUCCCUUACAAAAGGUUGUAUUUAAGAAGGAAAAAAUUAAAUCCUUUUUGGGAGAAAUGGUAGCAAAAUAGUAUUUUGUUACUUAAAUGGAAACAAACUGCGAACGGUUUAAAAAAUAAAUUUUAAUUAAUAUUUGAAUGUAAAUAAUGGUAUAGAUAGAAGUGAUUAGCGGAAAUUGCCAAGUCUAAUAUUAAAACAAGAAAUUAUUUCACAUAAUCCAAGAUUUUCUUUUGUGAAUUAAUUUUUAAAAUUUAAAACCAAUCGCAACGUUUCGCCAAUAUGAAACUAUUUUGUUAAAAAUAAAUAAAUAAUUGGCACGUACAAUUUCGUACAAUUUGUUUCGCCGAGAUCCUCCUCUUAUUUGUAGCGCGCGUUUCACAAUUGGAAGCCGAUUCCGGUAGAUGGUUUUUUAUGAGAAGCUCUUUCAUACUGGUACUGUGCUUUUCUAAGCCUCCUGUGGACACUUCAUCCAUCCAUAGGAAGGUGGGCUCAUUGGAAACAAGUUCUGCCAACUUUUUUAUAAUGAGUUCUGCAAUGUAAUCGAUUGCGUCGGGACUAUUCAAUAAUUCUCCCUGCUGUAACUCUUUAGCAAAUGCUAGCUCUUUGCAAAACAUGAGUUCUGUUUAAAUCACCACAUCAUAAGAAAUAAAGCUUUGUAAAUUCUCCAUCUCGAUCUAGGAUUGUGUCAAAUACUCUAUUAUGUCCUGACUUAAGCGGUAUCUAUUUCAUGUCAUACUACCAUAGUCCUGAACAUACCGAUAAAAACUCUUGAGCGAGUUGUUGCUCGUAAGCAGUCCAUUUUGAAAAUGAAAUGUUUUUUCUACAAAUUUUACUUUUCCUCCACUUUUAGUCAAAAUUUCUAGAGCUAGCAACCCAGUGUCUUGCUAAGGGAGCCGAUUUGUCAAGAGGGAAUGAGAAAGCUGCUUACUGAGCAAACCUUUUUAUUAUUGAAUGGUGUCAGAUGAUGUGUUGUGUGUGUGUUGUUGUUGGAUUGACCUCCAUUUUGAUUUUCACCUACCCGUUUCUGUAUCUAUACUACACACAUUUGUAUAGCUACAUAACACAUCGGUCAAUAAGUCCCCGGUCUGACAUAUAGAGGGCGCCACUAACAUAAAAUUAGCUUUAUGGUUCGAAAGAACAUACCCUUUUAGGUAUACUGUCAAAUUUGUAUGUCAUUCGGAUCAUUAUUGUGUGAGUUAUUGAAGCUUUAGUGACGCUACUUUUGUUAU